rnacentral:sRNA from 1 species
GGGACAGAGGCAGCCUCUGGGAGCUUGGAUGGGGGUGAGGAAGGGGAGGUGGCCAGUGUACGUAGCUACUUCUCCCUUCCGCCGGGCUCAGGAGAGAAGAGAAGGCUGCAGUACAGGCGAGGGAGGGAGAUGCGUUUUUCCCAGAUGGAGACACUGAAGUCCCUGCACCCAGCACCCAGGCCUCCCUGGCCAGACCCUGAUCCCCACGGAGCCCCUCCCCUCACACAGGUCAUUGACCACAGUGGCGCCCGCCUUGGUGAGUAUGAGGACGUGUCCCGGGUGGAGAAGUACACGAUCUCACAAGAAGCCUACGACCAGAGGCAAGACACGGUCCGCUCUUUCCUGAAGCGCAGCAAGCUCGGCCGGUACAACGAGGAGGAGCGGGCUCAGCAGGAGGCCGAGGCCGCCCAGCGCCUGGCCGAGGAGAAGGCCCAGGCCAGCUCCAUCCCCGUGGGCAGCCGCUGUGAGGUGCGGGCGGCGGGACAAUCCCCUCGCCGGGGCACCGUCAUGUAUGUAGGUCUCACAGAUUUCAAACCUGGCUACUGGAUUGGUGUCCGCUAUGAUGAGCCACUGGGGAAAAAUGAUGGCAGUGUGAAUGGGAAACGCUACUUCGAAUGCCAGGCCAAGUAUGGCGCCUUUGUCAAGCCAGCAGUCGU